UAAUAAUGCAAGUCGAGCGAACAGACGAGGAGCUUGCUCCUCUGACGUUAGCGGCGGACGGGUGAGUAACACGUGGAUAACCUACCUAUAAGACUGGGAUAACUUCGGGAAACCGGAGCUAAUACCGGAUAACAUGUUGAACCGCAUGGUUCAACAGUGAAAGACGGUCUUGCUGUCACUUAUAGAUGGAUCCGCGCCGCAUUAGCUAGUUGGUAAGGUAACGGCUUACCAAGGCAACGAUGCGUAGCCGACCUGAGAGGGUGAUCGGCCACACUGGAACUGAGACACGGUCCAGACUCCUACGGGAGGCAGCAGUAGGGAAUCUUCCGCAAUGGGCGAAAGCCUGACGGAGCAACGCCGCGUGAGUGAAGAAGGUCUUCGGAUCGUAAAACUCUGUUAUUAGGGAAGAACAAAUGUGUAAGUAACUAUGCACGUCUUGACGGUACCUAAUCAGAAAGCCACGGCUAACUACGUGCCAGCAGCCGCGGUAAUACGUAGGUGGCAAGCGUUAUCCGGAAUUAUUGGGCGUAAAGCGCGCGUAGGCGGUUUUUUAAGUCUGAUGUGAAAGCCCACGGCUCAACCGUGGAGGGUCAUUGGAAACUGGAAAACUUGAGUGCAGAAGAGGAAAGUGGAAUUCCAUGUGUAGCGGUGAAAUGCGCAGAGAUAUGGAGGAACACCAGUGGCGAAGGCGACUUUCUGGUCUGUAACUGACGCUGAUGUGCGAAAGCGUGGGGAUCAAACAGGAUUAUAUACCCUGGUAGUCCACGCCGUAGACGAUGAGUGCUAAGUGUUAGGGGGUUUCCGCCCCUUAU
rnacentral:rRNA from 1 species